rnacentral:rRNA from 1 species
GACGAACCGUGCGAACGUUAUUCGGAAUCACUGGGCUUAAAGCGCGUGUAGGCGGGGCGGCACGUCGGGUGCUGAAAUCCCCCGGCUUAACCGGGGAACGGGCGCCGAUACGACCGCCCUCGAGGGGCGUAGGGGGGGCCGGAACUUCCGGUGGAGCGGUGAAAUGCGUUGAGAUCGGAAGGAACGCCCGUGGCGAAAGCGGGCCCCUGGACGCCUACUGACGCUGAGACGCGAAAGCCAGGGGAGCGAACGG